rnacentral:rRNA from 1 species
UACGGAAGGCAACAGUGGGGAAUAUUGCACAAUGGGCGAAAGCCUGAUGCAGCUAUGCCGCGUGUAUGAAGAAGGCCUUAGGGUUGUAAAGUACUUUCAUCGGGGAGGAAAAAACAAAACUAAUAAUUUUAUUUCUUGACGUUACCCGAAAAAGAAGCACCGGCUAACUCCGUGCCAGCAGCCGCGGUAAUACGGAGGGUGCUAGCGUUAAUCAGAAUUACUGGGCGUAAAGAGCACGUAGGUGGUUUUUUUAAAGUCAGAUGUGAAAUCCCUGGGCUUAACCUAGGAACUGCAUUUUGAAACUGAAAUACUAGAGUAUCGUAGAGGGAGGUAGAAUUCUAGGUGUAGCGGUGAAAUGCGUAGAUAUCUGGAGGAAUACCUGUGGCGAAAGCGGCCUCCUAAACGAAUACUGACACUGAGGUGCGAAAGCGUGGGGAGCAAACAGGGAUUAGAUACC